rnacentral:rRNA from 1 species
AGUGAACGCUGGCGGUAGGCCUAACACAUGCAAGUCGAACGGCAGCACAGUAAGAGCUUGCUCUUACGGGUGGCGAGUGGCGGACGGGUGAGGAAUACAUCGGAAUCUACCUUUUCGUGGGGGAUAACGUAGGGAAACUUACGCUAAUACCGCAUACGACCUACGGGUGAAAGCAGGGGAUCUUCGGACCUUGCGCGAUUGAAUGAGCCGAUGUCGGAUUAGCUAGUUGGCGGGGUAAAGGCCCACCAAGGCGACGAUCCGUAGCUGGUCUGAGAGGAUGAUCAGCCACACUGGAACUGAGACACGGUCCAGACUCCUACGGGAGGCAGCAGUGGGGAAUAUUGGACAAUGGGCGCAAGCCUGAUCCAGCCAUACCGCGUGGGUGAAGAAGGCCUUCGGGUUGUAAAGCCCUUUUGUUGGGAAAGAAAAGCAGCAGGUUAAUACCCCGCUGUUCUGACGGUGCCCAAAGAAUAAGCACCGGCUAACUUCGUG